rnacentral:tRNA from 1 species
GCCCAUGUAGCUCAGUGGUUAGAGUGCCAGCCUAUGCACCUAAGGGUUGCAGGUUUGAUUCCCUGUCAAGGGCA